UACGGGGGGAGCAGCGUUGUUCGGAUUUACUGGGCGUAAAGCGCGCGAGGCGGAAUGGUAAGCGGGGCCGGAAAGCCCCCGGCUCAACCGGGGAAGAGGCCGUGAACUGCCAUUCUUGAGGGGGGGGAGAGGAGAGCGGAAUUCCUGGUGUAGCGGUGAAAUGCGUAGAGAUCAGGAGGAACACCCAUGGCGAAGGCAGCUCUCUGGCCUCACCCUGACGCUGAGGCGCGAAAGCGUGGGGAGCGAACGGG
rnacentral:rRNA from 1 species